rnacentral:rRNA from 1 species
UGAGUGCGAGCGGCUACGGCCGCGAAGUGGGUGAUGUCAAGCUUCCAAGAAAAGCCCUAUACCCGUUAAGGCAUGAUGGCCUGUACCCGAAACCGACACAGGUGGGGUGGUAGAGAAUACCGAGGGGCGCGAGGUAACUCUCUCUAAGGAACUCGGCAAAAUGGCCCCGUAACUUCGGGAGAAGGGGUGCCACCGCAAGGUGGUCGCAGUGAAGAGGCCCAGGCGACUGUUUACCAAAAACACAGGUCUCCGCUAAGUCGCAAGACGAUGUAUGGGGGCUGACGCCUGCCCAGUGCCGGGAGGAUAAGGAAGCUGGUCAGCGCAAGCGAAGCUGGCGACUGAAGCCCCGGUGAACGGCGGCCGUAACAAUAACGGUCCUAAGGUAGCGAAAUUCCUUGUCGGGUAAGUUCCGACCCGCACGAAAGGCGUAACGAUCUGGGCGCUGUCUCGGAGAGAGGCUCGGCGAAAUAGAAUUGUCUGUGAAGAUGCGGACUACGUGCACCCGGACAGAAAGACCCUAUGAAGCUUUACUGUAGCUUGGUAUUGUGCCCGGGCUCUGAAUGCGCAGGAUAGGUGGGAGGCUUUGAUCCAUGGCUUGCGGGUCAUGGUGAGCCAACGGUGAGAUACCACUCUUUCAGAGCUAGGGUUCUAACGGUCACCCGUCAUCCGGGGACCGGACAGUAUCAGGUGGGCAGUUUGACUGGGGCGGUCGCCUCCUAAAAGGUAACGGAGGCGCGCAAAGGUUUGCUCAGGCUGGUUGGAAAUCAGCCGACGAGUGCAAAAGCAGAAGCAAGCUUGACUGUGAGACCUACAAGUCGAACAGGGACGAAAGUCGGCUUUAGUGAUCCGACGGUUCUGAGUGGAAGGGCCGUCGCUCAACGGAUAAAAGUUACUCUAAGGAUAACAGGCUGAUCUCCCCCAAGAGUUCACAUCGACGGGGAGGUUUGGCACCUCGAUGUCGGCUCAUCGCAACCUGGGGCUGAAGUCGGUCCCAAGGGUUGGGCUGUUCGCCCAUUAAAGCGGUACGCGAGCUGGGUUCAGAACGUCGUGAGACAGUUCGGUCCAUAUCCGGUGCACGCGCAGGAACAUUGAGAGGAUUUCUCCCUAGUACGAGAGGACCGGGAGGAACGCACCUCUGGUGUGCCAGUUAUCGUGCCAACGGUAAACGCUGGGUAGCCAUGUGCGGAGUGGAUAACCGCUGAAAGCAUCUAAGUGGGAAGCCCACCUCAAGAUGAGUGUUCCCAUGGCAUAAGCCAGUAAGGUCACGGGAAGAACACCCGUUGAUAGGCUCUACGUGGAAGCCGGGUAACCGGUGAAGCGGAGGAGUACUAAUAGACCGAGGGCUUGACU